rnacentral:rRNA from 1 species
UCUACGGGAGGCAGCAGUGAGGAAUAUUGGUCAAUGGGCGGGAGCCUGAACCAGCCAAGUCGCGUGAGGGAAGACGGUCCUACGGAUUGUAAACCUCUUUUGCCGGGGAGCAACGGGGUCCUUGCGAGGGCCCGAUGAGAGUACCCGGAGAAAAAGCAUCGGCUAACUCCGUGCCAGCAGCCGCGGUAAUACGGAGGAUGCGAGCGUUAUCCGGAUUUAUUGGGUUUAAAGGGUGCGCAGGCGGAGGUGCAAGUCAGCGGUCAAAUUGCGGGGCUCAACCCCGUACUGCCGUUGAAACUGCAUCCCUUGAGUGCGCGAGAAGUAUGCGGAAUGCGUGGUGUAGCGGGGAAAUGCAUAGAUAUCACGCAGAACUCCGAUUGCGAAGGCAGCAUACCGGCGCGCAACUGACGCUCAUGCACGAAAGCGUGGGUAUCGAACAGGAUUAGAUACCCUUGUAGUC